GUUCCCUCGAAAUAAUUAUUUCGUUCCCUCGAUUUAGGAUAUCGAGCGAACGAAUUAAGUAUUUCGUUCCCUCGAAAUAAUCAUAUUAGAAAUCGAAAUACAAUUUCGUGAUUAAAGUCUAAAUCUCUGGCCCAUCAAAGCCAGUGAGGAGAGACGGACAUGCAGCUGUUUUAUAAUAGAUCCAUGCAGCAGCAGCAGCAGCAGCAGCAGCAGCAGCACCGGUACCAGCUACAACAUCUUGGAGUGGAAGGGGCCGUCUAUGUGCUGGAGUUAACAGUGGCUGCAACGCUCUGACAUCCACGUUGACAUUAUACAGCAAUCUUACACAACCACACAGAUUCUUUUGCCGGAGUCCGAAGUUUCAUCUAUGGACGCAGCACCACAAACCAGCGGAUUGAAUCGUGGUGGGGGAUCCUGAGGAAACAAAGUGCACAGUUUUGGAUCAACGUUUUCCAAACCCUCUAAGAUGACGGCUACUUCUCUGGUGAUUUCUUGGAUAGGA